rnacentral:tRNA from 1 species
GGGGUCGUAGCUUAGUUGGUAGAGCGCGUCGUUCGCAAUGACGAGGUCGUCGGUUCGAAUCCGAUCGACUCCACCA